AACUUUCUAUGUUUUGAAGCCAUUUGAAUGCUUUUGAAUAUACUAAAUUUCAUAUUUGAAUCAGACUUUAGAAGACUUCUCAAAAGACUCUUGGUAGACUCUCAGAAGACUUCUUGGGAAGUCACCGAAGAGAAAACUUAUUGAGAAUUUUUCUAGACCGUAAAAUCAAAUACAUGUGAAGACUUCUAGAAGACUUCGUUCUUCUCGAAAUCUUCUUGAGAACACUUCUGGGUCUUCCAAACCAUAAAUUAAUCAAAUAACUAACUAAAUAGCAAAUAACAAUUCAUUAAAAUCAUAAUCAACUUAUAAAGUGUUUAAUAUACACAAAACUAAACAUAUGUAUGUCAAAAAAAAAUUAACUUUAAAAUUCCAAAAUCUAACCCUAAUACAAACAAUACUAUAACAUAUGUUAUUAAACCCUAAACCAAAGACUUUUCGGAGUCUUCCAGACCCUAUAAUCAAAUAACUAAGCAAAAAAAAAAAAACACUUCUUUAAAUUUCAAAGAAACUUGUGGAAGCACCGUAGCCUAUUCGUUAAGGUUUAAAGACUUCUACGCCCAGGUCUGGGGUUCGAACCCCAGACUAUGCAAUUUCUUGCAGAUUACAGGAAAUCCAAGUUUCAAGUCCUGGAGAAGAGCGAUUUAUUAAUGCAGACUACAAAAAGAAAGAUUUACAAGGAAAUUUCAACAUGGUGCAAGUAAAUCUGGUCAUGAAUGGAUCUUCAUAGGACGGCUCAGAUGAUGCAGUUAGGCGUAGAUCUUCAUAAGGCAGGUAGUAUUGUCGGUUAUCGAUUUGUCUAUGUAAUCUUUCUCAUAAACGUUAUGUCAUAAUAAAUCAGCGUUAAAAAAAAAUUAAAAGAAACUUAGAAAAUGUUUAAAACAAGUUGAUAGUCAUUAAACACAUAUAAGUCAAACUAAAAACAGUUAAAAAUAUAAGAUUUCAAAAUUUAACCCAAAAAUACCAACAAUACUAUAAUAUACGUUACGAAACCCUAAACCAAAGGCUAUCA
rnacentral:lncRNA from 1 species